UGGCGAUGAUGAUAAAACUAAGGCUUGUUUCUCAAAACAUUCGCAGAUGCCGCCUAAGAGCUUUCGCCCUGCCAGGCUUGAGAGCUAAUGCUGCUAAUUCCUUCCUUGGAUGUCUGAGCCA
rnacentral:snoRNA from 1 species